rnacentral:rRNA from 1 species
UAACGCGUGGGUAACCUGCCUCAUACAGGGGGAGUAACAGUUAGAAAUGACUGCUAAUACCGCAUAAGCGCACAGUGCUGCAUGGCACAGUGUGAAAAACUCCGGUGGUAUGAGAUGGACCCGCGUCUGAUUAGCUAGUUGGUGGGGUAACGGCCUACCAAGGCGACGAUCAGUAGCCGGCCUGAGAGGGUGAACGGCCACAUUGGGACUGAGACACGGCCCAAACUCCUACGGGAGGCAGCAUG